rnacentral:tRNA from 1 species
GGACAGGUGGCCGAGUGGUUAUGGCGUGUGACUCAAGUUCUCAUGGGCUCUGCCCGCAGGGGUUCGAAUCCCCUCCUGUUCA